UACAGAGGGUGCGAGCGUUGUCCGGAAUUACUGGGCGUAAAGGGCGCGUAGGCGGCCUUCUAAGUCGGACGUGAAAUCCCUCGGCUUAACCGAGGAACUGCGUCCGAUACUGAAAGGCUUGAAUCCGGGAGAGGGAUGUGGAGUUCCAGGUGUAGCGGUGAAAUGCGCAGAUAUCAGGAAGAACACCAAUGGCGAAAGCAGCUCUCUGGGACAGUACUGACGCUGAGACGCGAAAGCGUGGGGAGCGAACAGG
rnacentral:rRNA from 1 species